UGUAAGCUGAACACAAAUAGAGC
rnacentral:piRNA from 1 species